rnacentral:rRNA from 1 species
UACGGAGGGUACGAACGUUAAUCGGAAUUACUGGGCGUAAAGCGCGCGUAGGCGGUUUGAUAAGUGGGAUGUGAAAGCCCCGGGCUUAACCUGGGAACUGCAUUCCAAACUGUCAGACUAGAGUAUGGUAGAGGCUGGUAGAAUUUCCUGUGUAGCGGUGAAAUGCGUAGAGAUCUGAAGGAAUACCAGUGGCGAAGGCGGCCUCCUGGCCUAAUAUUGACGCUGAGGUGCGAAAGCGUGGGGAGCAAACAGGAUUAGAUACCCCCGUAGUCC